AACUUUAGUAGACUCAGAAAUCGCGGCCGUAUCAACCAGGAUGUAAAAACGUGUUUACUUGUGCUAAAUUUAGUUCAGGUAAAUACCGGCACCUGAUUGGUCGUCUGUUGGUGUAGAAAAUAAUACUUCAAUUGCAAUAGUCGGAAAGCCUCGGAUUUACCCAAGUCGUGACAACACAGACGAGAAGUUCCGAAAGAUAACAACAAGUCCUGAACGUAAAAAUCAAUGAUGUUGACGGAAUGAAGAGAACAAAUACCCUGUUCAGUUUUGGCUUUAAAAAGGCCAGAAGUGAAAAUGAUACGAAAAUUCUUUAAAACCUCCAGACUUUAGAUAAACUACGAUUGGAAAGAUUAUAUAGAUUCGACCUCCAUUUCCUGAUGAUAGGUCGCACUAGUUAAAGAUCAUACCCGAGUGGUCGAUGCAUUCAAAACGAAGACAAACAUUGCGGAAGUUGUUUCACUAAAGCGCCUUGUCAAUUACCAGUCAUUAGAAUGGAGUAAACACUACACGACUGAGGGAAAUUUUGUUGGUGGAUGAUAUUGAAAAUGUGAAAAUGGAGAUCUAUGGAGGACAAUGUGUAUGGCCAUCUUUUACUUGCAUAAUGAACGCUAUGUAACGUACGAUUGAUAAAAAAUUGUUACAGCCCAGUCUAUGGGGACUACUCACUU